GGUUGAUCCUGCCAGUAGUCAUAUGCUUGUUUCAAAGAUUAAGCCAUGCAAGUCUAAGUAUAAGCUUUUUAUACGGCAAAACUGCGAAUAGCUCAUUACAACAGUUGUAAUCCCCACGAUGAUAUUUACUAUAUGGAUAUCCAUGGUAAUUCUGGAGCUAAUACAUGCUAAAAAACCUGACUUUCGGGAAAGGUUGCAUUCAUUAGAAUUCAGACCCAACCACCUCACGGUGACAUUGGUGAUCAUAAUGAAAGAGCGGAUCGCAUUCUUGCGACAGUUCGUUCGAGCUU
rnacentral:rRNA from 1 species